rnacentral:lncRNA from 1 species
UUACUUGUUUGGUUAGUAUAGUUUAUACAUUUUGUUUGUUAGACUAUGUAAACAAAAACUAUGUUAGAGUGCAAUGAGGAGGUAUUCUUCCUUUUGUACAAUUUGCUUAUUUGGUUGUAUGAUACCCUAGUUCUCUUUGCUUAGUUCUCUUUGCUCUCAUCUUCCACCUUGCUUACAUCAACAAUAUCCAUAUGGUAUCAUCAAAGCGUCAACUCAGGUAGAUGGCAUCGGACUAUCAUGUAUUAAUGUCUGGUGUUCUACUUGUUACUUCGUUUAUUUUUUAUUUUGAUAUUUUUUGGGCUUUUACUAUUUGCUUGAGAUAUUAUUGUGUUGGUUCUUGGUUGUUGAUUGAAUUUUUAUAAUGGCGGGGACAAAUCAUAAUUCACCUGGCUCCAUUAAUGUGAGAUUAGAUGACAAAAAUUAUCCACAUUGGAGUGUCGUCAUGAAGAACAUUUUGAAGGGUAAAUUAAUUUGGGAUUAUGUAAUUGGUAUUUAGACCAAACUUGAGCUCGAUAAACUUGAUUAUGAUAAGUUUGUAGAAGUUCUUCGUGCUUGUGACAUGAACAAACAUGCAAAAAUUUACAAAGUUGGAUACUCAAUUCUAUUGAACACUCUAUUUGGGUACAAUUGGAAAAAUAUGAAGAAAAAUAUGAAGCAACUAAGGAAAUUUAGGAUUAUUUAAAUGGUUGUUUAAACAAUCUAAUUUUGCAAUGGAAUACCAAUUGGAAGCUAGUAUUCGGCACUAGAGCAAAAAAUUUUGAGUGAUCAAGAAUUUCAUUAAGUAAUGACUAACUUUUAGCUCUUACAGAGGAUGAUGAAUUUUGAGCUUAUAAAUUAUAUAUUAAGCAUAGAAAGCAACACCCUCUGGUUCAAUUUUCAAUGGUCCUUUGUGAUUAUUUUGAGGGUCUCUAUUUUUCAACCUUAUAUUGUAAUCCAUUUCCUUUUGCCAAUUUUGUUGUUAGCGUACUUUAGGCAGAGAAAAAACAUUUGAAGUCUCAUAGCACGAAAAUUAUCUAUCCAUAUCUAUUUCUUGUACCACUUUAUCGAACCUCAUUGAGCAGUUUCAAAAGUCACUACCACACAACCUCAUGCUAUGUCAUCAUCUUCAGUAUAUGUAGGUAGUCCCAGAAUCCUUUAGGUAUUUCUUUUUCUAUACGAGUUUUAGAUUCGUGUACUUCUCACAUGUCACGUGACUUAACAUUCUUUACUUCUUUGUGUCCCUCUAAAUCAUUUGUAUCAAUUGUGAUUGCUGAUGGCACUUGGAUGUCCAUGGCGUGUGUUGGUUUUGGUAGUGCAAAUAGUUUACAUUUCAAUAUUUACUGCAUCCCCGCUCUAACUAUGGAUCUUGUCUUUAUUGAUCAUUUAUGUGACUCUAUAUACUUGGUUAAGUUUUCUUAAACCUGUUUGUCAUGUACAGAAUCCUGAAUCUCAGAAGCUCAUUGGGAUAGGGUGUAGGCCAGAAGUAUUAUAUGUUUUGGACAAUCCAAGAGAAUCAAAUGUUGCAGCAACCGAUGUUGAUCUGUCAACUUUUUGUUUGAUUCCCCCUUUCCCUAGUUUUUAUUUGUGAUGACCUUAUAUUGGUCAUGUUUUCAUUAGUGAUUUGAGAUAUAUAAUUUCUAAAGGUGCUUUGAAAUUGUACAGACUCAAGAUAUUUUAUUUUAGUAGUUGGAAACUAGAAAAUACUCUACUUUACCUUUUAAUCAAAGUAUUUCUUCUUCUAUUACACCAUUUCAUCCAUUUCAUUUUAAUGUGUG